CACGUAGGGCGCAAGCGUUGUCCGGAAUUAUUGGGCGUAAAGAGCUCGUAGGCGGUCUGUUGCGUCUGCUGUGAAAACCCGGGGCUUAACCCCUGGCUUGCAGUGGAUACGGACAGACUAGAGGUAGGUAGGGGAGAAUGGAAUUCCCGGUGUAGCGGUGAAAUGCGCAGAUAUCGGGAGGAACACCGGUGGCGAAGGCGGUUCUCUGGGCCUUACCCUGACGCUGAGGAGCCGAAAGCGUGGGGAGCGAAACAGG
rnacentral:rRNA from 1 species